CUACGGGACGCACCAGUGAGGAAUUUUGCGCAAUGGGGGCAACCCUGACGCAGCAACGCCGCGUGAGUGAAGAAGGCCUUUGGGUCGUAAAGCUCUGUCAACUGGGAAGAAAUUAGCAUCAAUUAAUAGUUGUUGUUAUUGACGGUACCAGUGGAGGAAGCGCCGGCUAACUCCGUGCCAGCAGCCGCGGUAACACGGGGGGCGCAAGCGUUAUUCGGAAUUAUUGGGCGUAAAGGGCGCGCAGGCGGUCUUGUCAGUCAGGUGUGAAAGCCCGGGGCUCAACCCUGGAAGUGCACUUGAAACAGCAAGACUUGAGUACGGGAGAGGAAAGCGGAAUUCCUGGUGUAGAGGUGAAAUUCGUAGAUAUCAGGAGGAACACCGAUGGCGAAGGCAGCUUUCUGGACCGAUACUGACGCUGAGGCGCGAAGGCGUGGGUAGCGAACGGGAUUAGAUACCCGGGUAGUC
rnacentral:rRNA from 1 species